rfam:Salmo salar isolate Sally breed double haploid chromosome ssa24, whole genome shotgun sequence.
UGCUUGCACCUCUGUAAAUCGCUUUGGAUAAAAGUGUCUGCUAAAUGGCAUAUA